UGUAAAAAAAUCAAUAAAAUAUAUAUUUAAAAAAAAAGAAAUGUGGACAUGCUGCCGGCGCCUGCCUUGCCGUGGGUGAAGUGGCACCAUCUCUGGCUGUCGGGACCGCGGGCCAGGCCGAUGUGGGCCCCAGAGCGCACGGCCGGCCUCUUGGUUCCCGCCCCGCCCACACUCCAUAUCCCGCCCCUUCCAGUGGAUCCGUCUUUUCUCGACUAGAGUGCCCCGUGGUCCUUCGCUAUUGGUCUUCCCCGCCGCUUGCUGAGAAGCCACCAGCUCCUCAUUGGCGGCACAUUCUCCCGCGCGCGCUGCAACCAUCACAACAACCGCCACGUGCUCGACUGGGGGGCCUGCUCAUUGGCCCAAAGUCUCCACCCGCCCCGUUCCUGUCCCGCCCCCAGCUUCCCGCUUCCUCCUCCUACUGGUUAUCUAGCCUCAGGCCCCACCCCAACGGCCUGGGCACAAAGCGUCUUCCACGCGGAUUGGUCGAAGGCGGGGAGGCGGGGCUUGGAGGCGGGUUAAAGAGCGCGCCGAAGUGGGGGCCACGUGUACCUGAGGAGGUUCAAUGGCGUGGCGGGGGCUGGCGGCCGAGUUCCUGCAGGUGCCGGCGGUGACCCGAGCUUACACCGCGGCCUGCGUCCUGACCACAGCUGCCGUGCAGCUGGAGCUCCUGAGCCCCUUCCAGCUCUACUUCAACCCGCACCUCGUGUUCCGGAAGUUCCAGGUCUGGAGGCUCCUCACCAACUUCCUCUUCUUCGGGCCCCUGGGAUUCAGCUUCUUCUUCAACAUGCUCUUCGUGUUCCGCUACUGCCGCAUGUUGGAGGAGGGCUCCUUCCGCGGCCGCACGGCUGACUUCGUCUUCAUGUUUCUCUUUGGGGGCGUCCUUAUGAUCCUGCUAGGGCUCCUGGGCAGCCUGUUCUUCCUGGGCCAGGCCCUCACAGCCAUGCUGGUGUACGUGUGGAGCCGCCGCAGCCCUCAAGUGAGGGUCAACUUCUUCGGCCUCCUUACCUUCCAGGCGCCAUUCCUGCCCUGGGCACUCAUGGGCUUCUCAAUGCUACUGGGCAACUCGAUCCUCGUGGACCUGCUGGGUGAGCCUGCCUGUCCAUCCAGCCCAUCAAAGCUGGCUGUUCUGCCAGACCCCCACCCCCCCGGACCUCUCAUCUGUCCUCCUACCUCCAGCAUCUCUAUUCUUAUAGCCCCUUGAAUAAGCCAGCAGGCCUACAGGUUUCACAUCUUCAGGCCUCAUCUGCUGAUGCUUGUGUGAGUCCUGAUUGGGGUGGGGUGGGUAGUUCAGCUUUCCAGCCAUGGCUCCCACUCCGCUGUUCUCAGGUCCUGGGUCCUGGAACACUGUCCUUCGGGCCAACCCCAGCCCCAUCCUGGGCUGGCAGUCUGUGCAGGACAUAGGGCACUCAUGCUCUGAGGCCUGAGGUUCCUCUGGGCCUGACUAGGCCUCCAGAGCUGCACAUGGAAGCCCAGAACAAGGCUGUGCUGGCCCUGGGCUCUGGACCAUGGAGGCAGUGGCCUUGGCAGUCCUCUGCUCUCCCACAGGGAUUGCUGUGGGUCACAUCUACUACUUCCUGGAAGAUGUCUUUCCCAACCAGCCUGGAGGCAAGAGGCUGCUGCUGACCCCCG